rnacentral:rRNA from 1 species
AGAAUCAACGCUGGCGGCGUGCCUAACACAUGCAAGUCGCACGAGAAAGGGUAGCAAUACCUGAGUACAGUGGCGCACGGGUGAGUAACACGUGAAUAAUCUACCUCCGAGUGGGGAAUAACUGAGAGAAAUCUUAGCUAAUACCGCAUAACACUUACGAGUCAAAGCAGCAAUGCGCUUGGAGAGGAGUUCGCGGCCGAUUAGUUAGUUGGCGGGGUAAUGGCCCACCAAGACGAUGAUCGGUA